CCGGCUGCUCGACUGCCCUGCCGCUGUGCCGCCGGAUUUGGCCGCCUACGCCACCUGCGCCGGAGGAAGUAUUUGCCAUCUGUAUGUUGCCUGCACUCUCCUCUUGGUCAAGCCAUUACUGGAAAACUGGUUCACCUUAGUGAACCCAAAAGACACGACUAAGCCAAAGUUCGGAAUAAGGAAGGAUAUAUUACUUGCAGCAACACAGAAGGAAUUCAGCAAGAGGCAAUGCGAUACGGAAGACGUGCAUUAUUUAAAGAGGAUCUCAGUUGUCCGACCAGGGAUUGAACCCAGGCCACGGCAGUAGAAGCCCAGAAUCCUAACCACUAGGCCACCAGGGAACUCCUGGCCAUGUCAUUCUUUUAAAGCAUGAGGGAUCUUAGUUCCCCCAACCAGGGACCAAACCCACACCCCCUGCAGUGGAAGCAAGGAGUCUUAACCACUGGACCACCAGGUAAGUCCCUCCCAUACCUCUAUCUUGCCCCUUCCCCUUCUUCUCCCCACUCAUAAUCACCAGCUUGUUCUUUAUAUCUGUGAGUCUGUUUCUGCUUUGUUAUAUACAUUUGUUUGUGCUGGUUUUUAGAUUCCACAUAUAAGUGAUAACAGAGAGUAUUUGUGUUUCUCUGUCUGACUGAUUUCACUAAGCAUAACACCCUCUAAGUCCAUCCACAUUGUUGCAAAUGGCAGAAUUUCAGUUUUUUAUGGCUAAGUAGUAUUCCAUUGUAUAUAUACACACAUAUUUUCUUUUUUUUUUUUUUUUUUUUUGCGGUACGCGGGCCUCCCACUGUUGUGGCCUCUCCUGUUGCGGAGCACAGGCUCCGGACGCACAGGCUCAGUGGCCAUGGCUCACGGGCCUAGCCACUCCGCGGCAUGCAGGAUCUUCCCGGACCGGGGCACGAACCCAUGUCCCUUGCAUCGGCAGGCGGACUCUCAACCACUGCGCCACCAGGGAAGCCCUACACACAUAUCUUCUGUAUCUAUUCAUCUGUUGGACAUGUAGGUUGCUUCUAUAUCUUGGCUAUUGUAAAUAAUGCUGCUAUGAAUAUUGGAGUACAUGUGUCUUUUGUUUUCGUCAGAUAUAUACCCAGGAGUAGAACUGCUGGGUUGUAUGAUAGUUCUAUUUUUAGUUUUUUAAGGAACCUCCAUAUCAUUUUCCAUAGUGGCUGUACCAAUUUAUAUUCCCACCAACAGUGUACGAGGGUUCCCUUUUCUCCACAUCCUUGCCAACACUUGUUAUUUGUGGUCUUUUUGAUGACAGCCAUUCUGACAGGUGUGAGAUGAUGUCUCAUUGUGUUUUUGAUUUGCAAUUCUCUAAUAAUUAGUGAUGUUGAGUAUCUUUUCAUGUGCCUGUUGGCCAUCUGUUUAUCUUCUUUGGAAAAAUGUCUAUUCAGGUCUUCUGCCCAUUUUUUAGUCGGGGUGUUCAGAGAUGGUAUUUUGAACAUUACUAAUGUGCUUUACUUAUUUUGCUAUUUCAGAGGAAGGGAGGAGAUGGUAUUAUUGGGAAGGCAACCAAGCGUGUCAAUUUAAUUUAUGUAUUUCUAAUUUAUAUCUUUUAUGAUAUUUCUUUUCUUCACAGCCCUGUAAGCCCCACCACCUUAAAUCCUUUUUAGAGCAAAGAUUUAAUUAAAUUGUACUGAAUUAAAUUAAAUUAAUCUCCUCCUCAAUAAUUUUAAGCCAUCUAUAAACGCAAUUUUGCUAUAUAACAUUGCAUUAUAUAGAUGUAACUAAGUUGGCUUAUUUUCAAUUGUUUUGCAUUAUAAAUUAAGUGGGAUAAAAAUAGUAUGUUAUCUUAAUUGUAUUAUGGAUUGGGAGUGGGGGGUGGGGGUAUUGGAAUUGCCUUCGUUUAAUAAAAUAGUUUGGUAAAUUGCUAAGGAAGAGAGUCAGAUCCAAAGGGAUGCAGGCUAGAGCCAGAGCAAUAAAAGAGGUAGCUAAACUGGAACAUGGUCUUUUGGCAAAUGACAAGAACACAAGGGGGCUGGUGGAAAUUUGGCAUGCCUCGAAAGCCUCAUUUUGGAACUGGCACACUGUCACUUCCACACGUAUACCAUUGGCCAGAUUAAGUCAUGAGGCCAAGCACGAACUCAGUGGGGUGGGGAAGAUUACUCCCACCUACAGAGAAGCAUGGCAGGAAUAAAGAGGGAAGAAAGAAUAGGAUACAAAUACAAUCUACUAGUGAAAAGCCCCUAGUGACGGGGGUGACUAAGGCACUCUUAAGAAGAAAUAUGCCCAAUAUUCAAUCUGAAGUUGUUGGCAUUUCUGUGUGGUAAACUCCCCUUAUUUGCCUGUAUUUGCCACAGUCUGCUAUGUGCACAAAUAGCUGAUGGGAGUGGCAUUUGUAAAAAUUAAGAAAAAGAUCUGAGUGUUAACUCUGGGUAAGCACUGCGUAGAACAGCACAACAGGUUUAAGACAUCUAGUUGAUCCCUAUGCUGAAUGAAUCUAGCAGAAACAGAGAACCAGAGCUGACCAUAAGAAGACAAGCCCUCUGGGAAUGUGCAAAAAUCUUGGGGAGGACAUUGAUCUUUCCACAAUUCAUGAAACUGAGAUUUUAAGCAAUCCUAUUUAGAUCUUAUGGAGCAGGGUAUCUCCUUGGAAUCAAAUCUCAGAAGUGUAAUUACUAAUCAAAGGGUAUGAACUUUUUUCAGGCUCUUGAUGAGUAACGUUGAAUUGAUUCAUGAUGUUAAGUUCAAAUAGAUAUUCAGGAUUUUUCCACUUUAAAUCGUCAACCAUAUUAAAUACCAAAAAAAGAAAAAGAAAAAGAAAAUAUAGAACAAGCUUUGAAAAUAAGAAAAAAAUAUACAAGCAGAUGCAGUUACUGAAUUAAAAUGCUCACUGAAAAUAACUAUGUUCUGAGCAAUUUUAUGUUUAAAUUUGAAAUUCUCUGAUUCAGUGUUAAUUCCUUAAAGCUUCACAGUUAAACCUGACCUUCAGUCCCAGGGAACCCAGGAUGGCUGGUAAUCCUACUAGGUGGGGAACGGGGGCCAUCUAUCCCAGACCUGAACUUGGAGAAGGAUGAAUGGGUCCUCCUAAGAGUUACUUAAUGUGUUUGGUUGAGAAGCAGAACCUGAGAGAGUCUCUUGUUUAAGUGGUUUAUUGAGGAUGUGUUCUCAGGUGAGGGGGAGGGAGGGAAGCAGGGUAAGGCAGAGGAAGACCACUAAGCAAGAAUGUGGUGUUCAGUGAAGACUGACUUCAGCCUGAUCCCACGAGGAGCUCUAGAAUAGGAACUGCACCUCCUUGAGGUGAGGGAUCAGUCUUCUGUACCUCCACACAAGCAAGAUAGCAAUUCUUUUCUUGAUCAGAUCUCAAAAUUAAAGUGCAUCAGAAUUACCUGGAGGACUUCUUAAAACAGACUGCUGGGCCAACUCCCUGUUUCUGAUUCAGUAGGUCUGAGGUAGGGACUAGAGAAUUUGUAUUUCUAACAAGUUCCCAGGUUUUGGGGAUGCUGCUGGUCUAGGGACCACACUUUGAGAACUACUGCUCUAGAUAAGAGGACAGCUGUGAGGCUUUAGCAGCCAAUACCCACAGCAUCCGGGAAAGGAGAUCUGAGCGCCAUCUACUCCAGGUAUACUAACUUGGCAUCUUCCCAAUGAAGGCACACACCAGGGCUAGAAGAUUGGACCACAAGCUGAGGCUGGGUAGAUUACAUUUUUAGGUCUGUCUAGACUCAUGACAUCCUAUUAUUUUCCUGUUGUCAUCCUGCAUCUCCAGCCAAAGCAUUGUUGAAACAUUCCAGUUCACCUCUGCCUUGCUAUUGGACUUCAAGGGAAGGGUCUGGCAGGUACAUGAGGCUUUAUAGAGGAAACAGCUGCACCUCUCUAGGGAAGUACAGUGGAGUCAGUUGCAAUGAGUGGAAAGUCCUCAAAGGGGAAACACAUAUUUGGGGGCAAGACUCAAGUAGACCACCUUGGAAGUUUUUUUUGUUUGUUUGUUUGUUUUUUUCUUUUUUUUUUUUUGCG